GGCUUCGUAACUCAAUUGGAUAGAGUAACGGUUUUCUAAACCGUAGGUUACAGGUUCGAAUCCUGUCGGAGUCA
rnacentral:tRNA from 1 species